rnacentral:rRNA from 1 species
AUUGAACGCUGGCGGCAGGCCUAACACAUGCAAGUCGAACGACCGGCGCAAGGGUGAGUAACACGUAUCCAACCUGCCCUUUACUCGAGGAUAGCCUUUCGAAAGAAAGAUUAAUACCCGAUAUAAAGGAAGGGGAUGCGUUCCAUUAGGUUGUUGGUGAGGUAACGGCUCACAAAGCCUUCGAUGGAUAGGGGUUCGGAGAGGAAGGUCCCCCUCACUGGAACUGAGACACGGCUCAAAAUGCGACUGGUGGCAGCCAUGAGGAGUAUUGGUGACUGAGCGGUAACCACAACGAGCAAAGUAACGUUAAGGUUGUAGGUUUCAACGGCGUAAACUUAUUUUACAUAAGAAUAUGUAAUAUAUGAAUAAGGAACGGCUAACUCCGUGCCAUCAGCCGCGGUAAUUC